AGAGUUUGAUCCUGGCUCAGGACGAACGCUGGCGGCGUGCCUAAUACAUGCAAGUAGAACGCUGAAGACUUUAGCUUGCUAAAGUUGGAAGAGUUGCGAACGGGUGAGUAACGCGUAGGUAACCUGCCUACUAGCGGGGGAUAACUAUUGGAAACGAUAGCUAAUACCGCAUAACAGCAUUUAACCCAUGUUAGAUGCUUGAAAGGAGCAAUUGCUUCACUAGUAGAUGGACCUGCGUUGUAUUAGCUAGUUGGUGAGGUAACGGCUCACCAAGGCGACGAUACAUAGCCGACCUGAGAGGGUGAUCGGCCACACUGGGACUGAGACACGGCCCAGACUCCUACGGGAGGCAGCAGUAGGGAAUUUUCGGCAAUGGGGGAAACCCUGACCGAGCAACGCCGCGUGAGCGAAGAAGGCCUUCGGGUCGUAAAGCUCUGUUGUAAAGGAAGAACGGCGCAUACAGGAAAUGGUAUGCGAGUGACGGUACUUUACCAGAAAGCCACGGCUAACUACGUGCCAGCAGCCGCGGUAAUACGUAGGUGGCGAGCGUUAUCCGGAAUCAUUGGGCGUAAAGAGGGAGCAGGCGGCCGCAAGGGUCUGUGGUGAAAGACCGAAGCUAAACUUCGGUAAGCCAUGGAAACCGGGCGGCUAGAGUGCGGAAGAGGAUCGUGGAAUUCCAUGUGUAGCGGUGAAAUGCGUAGAUAUAUGGAGGAACACCAGUGGCGAAGGCGACGGUCUGGGCCGCAACUGACGCUCAUUCCCGAAAGCGUGGGGAGCAAAUAGGAUUAGAUACCCUAGUAGUCCACGCCGUAAACGAUGGUCACUAAGGUGUCGGGGGUCAAACCCCGGUGCUGCAGUCAACGCAAUAAGUGACCCGCCUGAGUAGUACGUUCGCAAGAAUGAAACUCAAAGGAAUUGACGGGGGCCCGCACAAGCGGUGGAGCAUGUGGCUUAAUUCGAAGCAACGCGAAAAACCUUACCAGGCCUUGACUUCGAUCUAAAAGGGAUGGAGAAUCUCCUAAGCUAUAGAGAAACAAGGUGUGCCAUGGUUUCCUUCCCUCCUGGCCGGGAAAAUUUGGGUUAAUUCCCCCAAAAAGGGACACCCUGUCCCCGUUCCACCCUUAAAUUUGGGAGCCUUGGGGAACGGCUCUCCCAAGAGAGGAAGAGGGGGGAGAGACUUAAAUACUAUCGCCUCUUAACCUGGGGCCACACACGUGCUACAAUGGACGGGACAGAGGGAAGCGAAGGCGCGAGCCGGAGCGGACCCCAGAAACCCGUUCCCAGUUCGGACUGCAGUCUGCAACUCGACUGCACGAAGCCGGAAUCGCUAGUAAUCGCGGAUCAGCAUGCCGCGGUGAAUACGUUCUCGGGCCUUGUACACACCGCCCGUC
rnacentral:rRNA from 1 species